rnacentral:rRNA from 1 species
AGAGUUUGAUCCUGGCUCAGAACGAACGCUGGCGGCAAGGCUUAACACAUGCAAGUCGAACGGUUGUAGCAAUACAGCAGUGGCAGACGGGUGAGUAACACGUGGGAACCUUCCUAGGGGUACGGAACAACUCAGGGAAACUUGAGCUAAUACCGUAUACGUCCGUGAGGAGAAAGAUUUAUCGCCCUUAGACGGGCCCGCGUCGGAUUAGCUAGUCGUGGGGUAACGGCCUACCAAGGCGACGAUCCGUAGCUGAUCUUAGAGGAUGAUCAGCCACACUGGGACUGAGACACGGCCCAGACUCCUACGGGAGGCAGCAGUGGGAAUCUUGGACAAUGGGCGCAAGCCUGAUCCAGCCAUGCCGCGUGAGUGAAGAAGGUCUUCGGAUUGUAAAGCUCUUUUGCCAGGGACGAUAAUGACGGUACCUGGAGAAUAAGCCCCGGCAAACUUCGUG